rnacentral:rRNA from 1 species
UACGGUAGGUGGCAAGCGUUUGUCCGGAUUUACUGGGCGUAAAGAGCGCGCAGGCGGUCGUUCAAGUCGCGUGUGAAAGCCCCCGGCUCAACUGGGGAGGGUCACGCGAUACUGAUCGACUCGAAGGCAGGAGAGGGAAGUGGAAUUCCCGGUGUAGUGGUGAAAUGCGUAGAUAUCGGGAGGAACACCAGUGGCGAAGGCGACUUCCUGGCCUGUUCUUGACGCUGAGGCGCGAAAGCUAGGGGAGCAAACGGG